UUGGAGGGCAAGUCUGGUGCCAGCAGCCGCGGUAAUUCCAGCCCCAAUAGCGUAUAUUAAAGUUGUUGCAGUUAAAAAGCUCGUAGUUGAAUUUUAGACUUGAUCUCAUGGUCCAUCCAAUGGAUGAGUACUGUUUUGAUUGGGACUUCAUUUCUGAUAAACUUUUAUUCCCUUUAUUGGGUGUAAUAGGGAAGCAGGACCAUUACCUUGAAAAAAUUAGAGUGUUCAAAGCAGGCAAAUUGCUCGAAUACAUUAGCAUGGAAUAAUAAAAUAGGACGGAUGAAUCUAUUUUGUUGGUUUCUAGGACCACCGUAAUGAUUAAUAGGGAUAGUUGGGGGCAUUAGUAUUCAAUUGUCAGAGGUGAAAUUCUUGGAUUUAUUGAAGACUAACUACUGCGAAAGCAUUUGCCAAGGAUGUUUUCAUUAAUCAAGAACGAAAGUUAGGGGAUCGAAGACGAUCAGAUACCGUCGUAGUCUUAACCAUAAACUAUGCCGACUAGGAAUCGGAAUUUGUUAUUAUAAUGACAAGUUCGGCGCCUUACGGGAAAC
rnacentral:rRNA from 1 species